AAAAACUUAGUUAAUUUAUAAUAUAAUCUUGUCAAGAUUAAGUCGUUCAAAGAACAGUUUUUU
rnacentral:tRNA from 1 species